rnacentral:rRNA from 1 species
AUGAACGCUAGCGGCAGGCUUAACACAUGCAAGUCGAGGGGCAGCAUAAUGGAUAGCAAUAUCUAUGGUGGCGACCGGCGCACGGGUGCGUAACGCGUAUGCAACCUACCUUUAACAGGGGGAUAACACUGAGAAAUUGGUACUAAUACCCCAUAAUAUCAUAGAAGGCAUCUUUUAUGGUUGAAAAUUCCGAUGGUUAGAGAUGGGCAUGCGUUGUAUUAGCUAGUUGGUGGGGUAACGGCUCACCAAGGCGACGAUACAUAGGGGGACUGAGAGGUUAACCCCCCACACUGGUACUGAGACACGGACCAGACUCCUACGGGAGGCAGCAGUGAGGAAUAUUGGUCAAUGGACGCAAGUCUGAACCAGCCAUGCCGCGUGCAGGAUGACGGCUCUAUGAGUUGUAAACUGCUUUUGUACGAGGGUAAACGCAGAUACGUGUAUCUGUCUGAAAGUAUCGUACGAAUAAGGAUCGGCUAACUCCGUGCCAGCAGCCGCGGUAAUACGGAGGAUUCAAGCGUUAUCCGGAUUUAUUGGGUUUAAAGGGUGCGUAGGCGGUUUGAUAAGUUAGAGGUGAAAUUUCGGGGCUCAACCCUGAACGUGCCUCUAAUACUGUUGAGCUAGAGAGUAGUUGCGGUAGGCGGAAUGUAUGGUGUAGCGGUGAAAUGCUUAGAGAUCAUACAGAACACCGAUUGCGAAGGCAGCUUACCAAACUAUAUCUGACGUUGAGGCACGAAAGCGUGGGGAGCAAACAGGAUUAGAUACCCUGGUAGUCCAUGCCGUAAACGAUGAGUGCUAAGUGUUGGGAGGUUUCCGCCUCUCAGUGCUGCAGCUAACACAUUAAGCACUCCGCCUGGGGAGUACGACCGCAAGGUUGAAACUCAAAGGAAUUGACGGGGGCCCGCACAAGCGGAGGAACAUGUGGUUUAAUUCGAUGAUACGCGAGGAACCUUACCCGGGCUUGAAAGUUAGCGACGAUUCUUGAAAGAGGAUUUCCCUUCGGGGCGCGAAACUAGGUGCUGCAUGGUUGUCGUCAGCUCGUGCCGUGAGGUGUCGGGUUAAGUCCCAUAACGAGCGCAACCCCUACCGUUAGUUGCCAUCAGGUGAAGCUGGGCACUCUGGCGGGACUGCCGGUGUAAGCCGAGAGGAAGGUGGGGAUGACGUCAAAUCAGCACGGCCCUUACGUCCGGGGCUACACACGUGUUACAAUGGUAGGUACAGAGGGCAGCUACCCAGCGAUGGGAUGCGAAUCUCGAAAGCCUAUCUCAGUUCGGAUUGGAGGCUGAAACCCGCCUCCAUGAAGUUGGAUUCGCUAGUAAUCGCGCAUCAGCCAUGGCGCGGUGAAUACGUUCCCGGGCCUUGUACACACCGCCCGUCACACCAUGGGAGUGGGUUGCUCCAGAAGUAGCUAGUCUAACCGCAAGGGGGACGGUUACCACGGAGUGAUUCAUGACUGGGGUG